GGCAGUACCAGGUCAUAUAUCUUAACCUUUAGGCAGUACCAGGUCAUAUAUCUUAACCUUUAGGCAGUACCAGGUCAUAUAUCUUAACCUUUAGGCAGUAC